rnacentral:rRNA from 1 species
GACGAACGCUGGCGGCGUGCCUAAUACAUGCAAGUCGAGCGCUGAAGCUUGGUACUUGUUCCGACUGGGUGAGCAGCGGACGGGUGAGUAACGCGUGGGGAAUCUGCCUUUGAGCGGGGGACAACAUCUGGAAACGAAUGCUAAUACCGCAUAAUAACUUUAAACACAAGUUUCAAGUUUGAAAGAUGCAAUUGCAUCACUCAAAGAUGAUCCCGCGUUGUAUUAGCUAGUUGGUGAGGUAAAGGCCCACCAAGGCGAUGGUACAUAGGCGGCCGGAAGAGGUGGUUCGCCCCAAUGGGACCUGGGAACGGCCCAAGCUCCCUACGGGAGGAACAAGAGGGGAUCUUCGGCAAAUGGCGGAAGGCCGGACGAGCAAAGCCGGGGGGGGGGAGGAGGUUCUCGGGUCGGUAAACUCCGUUUGUAGGGAAGAAAGAUGGUUAGAGUGGAAAGCUCAUAAAGUGACGGUAACUACCCAGAAAGGGACGGCUAACUACGUG